rnacentral:rRNA from 1 species
GACGAACGCUGGCGGCGUGCUUAACACAUGCAAGUCGAACGAACAGGCCCUGCUUUUGUGGGGUGCUCGAGUGCCGAACGGGUGAGUAAAACGUGAGUAACAUGCCCCUAUAUUUCGGGUAAAUUCAGGAAAAUGCGGCUCAUACCGCAUAGAAUCUCCUGAUCCAUGGUGGUGGUUGGAAAAUUUCGGCCGUUCGGGAUGGACUCGCGGCUUAUCAGCUUGUUGGUGGGGUAGUGGCUUACCAAGGCUUUGACGGGUAGCCGGCCUGAGAGGGGGACCGGGCACAUUGGGACUGAGAGACGGACCAGAAGCCUACGGGAGGCAGCAGGCGGGAAUAUUGCACAAUGGGCGGAAGUCUGAGGCAGCAACGCCGGGAGCGUGAAGACGUCCUAUGGGGUGUAAACCGCUGUCGCCGGUGACGAAGCGGGAGUGACGGUAAUGGGUAAAGAAGCACCGGCUAACUACGUG